rnacentral:rRNA from 1 species
AACGAACGCUGGCGGCAGGCCUAACACAUGCAAGUCGAACGCCGUAGCAAUACGGAGUGGCAGACGGGUGAGUAACGCGUGGGAACGUACCCUUUGGUUCGGAACAACUCCGGGAAACUGGAGCUAAUACCGGAUAAGCCCUACGGGGGAAAGAUUUAUCGCCGAAGGAUCGGCCCGCGUCGGAUUAGCUUGUUGGUGGGGUAACGGCCUACCAAGGCGACGAUCCGUAGCUGGUCUGAGAGGAUGAUCAGCCACACUGGGACUGAGACACGGCCCAGACUCCUACGGGAGGCAGCAGUGGGGAAUAUUGGACAAUGGGCGCAAGCCUGAUCCAGCCAUGCCGCGUGAGUGAUGAAGGCCCUAGGGUUGUAAAGCUCUUUCAGCUGGGAAGAUAAUGACGGUACCAGCAGAAGAAGCCCCGGCUAACUCCGUGCCAGCCGCCGCUGUAAAAC